rnacentral:pre_miRNA from 1 species
AUUUCAGUAUAAGUACAUCCCAAUACAAUAUUUGGGUUGUAUUUACACUAAAG